GAUGCCAAGGAUGAAAAAGUCCAACGUCGUUCUUGCUUGCAAGAUAAGACGAUUGACCUUUUCAUCCGCUUAAACAUGAGGAAGAAGCAAUUUACGCAGUAAAUUUGCGUAUUCCGAAUGUUUACAGGAUUGCGAAAGCUGAUUUUCAGCGGAGCAAUCCGUGGCAUC
rnacentral:sRNA from 1 species